UACGUAGGGACCAAGCGUUGUCCGGAAUUAUUGGGCGUAAAGCGCACGCAGGCGGUUGCGCGCGUGGGGUGUGAAAUCUGGCCGCUUAACGGCCAGGCGCCAUCCCAUACGGCGCGACUGGAGUGAUGCAGAGGUCGAUGGAAUUGCCGGUGUAGUGGUGAAAUGCGUAGAGAUCGGGCAGGAACACCCAGGGGGGAAACCAGUCGACUGGGCAUCUACUGACGCUGAGGUGCGAGAGCGUGGGGAGCGAACCGG
rnacentral:rRNA from 1 species